GAUAAAUAUAGCCUCACAUCGUUACUAAAUAUAGGUACAGUUUAACAGUAACAUUCAGAGAAAAGCGUAUCUAAAGAAGGAACGAACACAUCAAACAGUAGGAAUACGCGACUCUACUCCAUAAAUGGUGGAAUCAUAUCGGAGUAGUGUGCCAGAUUCGGUCGUCAACGAUCUCUUAAAACGAUUAUGCGGCCUUGAAACUGAGGAUGACUAUAGUGGAUCGAGUGUUGAUGACAUUCCACAGGUGAAGGACAUUAUCAAAGAGGAGAUGGUAAAGAGUAUCCAUAAUGUUGAGGAGAGGUUCAAAAUGUAUGCUCAAAAAUGUGCCAAAUUGCUACAACUUGGUCAGUGCAACCCGAAGAAAGUGCAAAGCGAUAUUUCUUGCACGGAAAAUUACAUCAUGCAAGUAUUUCGUGAAAGGGAACCGUUUAUAAUAGAAUAAGAAGACAAGAGACUCAACAUCCACAGAGACGCUCUGAAAAAUGUUACAGCCACCUAAUCAGCGACCUUUGACCUUGUGAACU